CGUUCUCAUUUGAACCCAAACGGACUAUAAGUGUGCGAAAUACGUUCCUGCACCAGAAUGUCGUGCAAGUCGAGCUCUAAACAAUCACGUGCAAUGUAAAACCACGUGAUUUAAACUGCCAUUACAGCAAAUGAAUUGCGACAAGGAGAUGCUCUUGACUUCUCAGCGAGCUGCGACGAUUCUGUUCCAGGCCGGAGUGCAUUUUGAAGCAAACUGGCCAUCUGAUGAUUCAAGUGACCCUGAGGAGAAUGGGAAGGGGGAAGGAGAUCUCGCCGGUUCCAAUUUCUUAACUGCAGUGUGCAGAUAUUGUAAAUAAAAUAAAUCAUUUUGAAUG